GACGAACGCUGGCGGCGUGCUUAACACAUGCAAGUCGAACGGUAAGGCUCCAGCUUGCUGGGGUACACGAGUGGCGAACGGGUGAGUAACACGUGGGUGACCUGCCCUGCACUUCGGGAUAAGCCUGGGAAACUGGGUCUAAUACCGGAUAGGACCGCACCGUGAGGGUGUGGUGGAAAGUUUUUUCGGUGUGGGAUGGGCCCGCGGCCUAUCAGCUUGUUGGUGGGGUAAUGGCCUACCAAGGCGGCGACGGGUAGCCGGCCUGAGAGGGUGGACGGCCACAUUGGGACUGAGACACGGCCCAGACUCCUACGGGAGGCAGCAGUGGGGAAUAUUGCACAAUGGGCGGAAGCCUGAUGCAGCGACGCCGCGUGGGGGAUGACGGCCUUCGGGUUGUAAACUCCCUUCACCAUCGACGAAGGGUUUCUGACGGUAGAUGGAGAAGAAGCACCGGCUAACUACGUG
rnacentral:rRNA from 1 species